UACGUAGGGGGCUAGCGUUGUCCGGAUUUAUUGGGCGUAAAGAGCGUGUAGGCGGCCAUGUAGGUCCGGUGUGAAAACUCGAGGCUUAACCUCGAGAUGUCAUCGGAAACCAUUUGGCUAGAGUCCGGAAGAGGAGAAUGGAAUUCCCGGUGUAGCGGUGAAAUGCGCAGAUAUCAGGAGGAACACCGGUGGCGAAGGCGGGUCUCUGGGCCGUAACUGGACGCUGAGGAGCGAAAGCGUGGGGAGCGAACAGGA
rnacentral:rRNA from 1 species